rnacentral:rRNA from 1 species
AGGACGAACGCUGGCGGCGUGCUUAACACAUGCAAGUCGAGCGAGACUUCGGUCUAGCGGCGAACGGGUGAGUAACACGUGGGCAACCUGCCCCGAGCUCUGGGAUAACUCCGGGAAACCGGGGCUAAUACCGGAUACGACCCGAGAAGACAUCUUCUCGGGUGGAAAGUUUUUCGGCUCGGGACUGGGCCCGCGGCCUAUCAGCUUGUUGGUGGGGUAACGGCCUACCAAGGCGACGACGGGUAGCCGGCCUGAGAGGGCGACCGGCCACACUGGGACUGAGACACGGCCCAGACUCCUACGGGAGGCAGCAGUGGGGAAUAUUGCGCAAUGGGCGAAAGCCUGACGCAGCGACGCCGCGUGAGGGAUGAAGGCCUUCGGGUUGUAAACCUCUUUCAGCAGGGACGAAGCGAAAGUGACGGUACCUGCAGAAGAAGCACCGGCCAACUACGCGCCAGCAGCCGC